rnacentral:rRNA from 1 species
GAUGAACGCUAGCGGGAGGCCUAACACAUGCAAGCCGAGCGGUAGAGAUUCUUCGGAAUCUUGAGAGCGGCGUACGGGUGCGGAACACGUGUGCAACCUACCUUUAUCUGGAGGAUAGCCUUUCGAAAGGAAGAUUAAUACUCCAUAAUAUAUUGAUUGGCAUCAAUUGAUAUUGAAAGCUCCGGCGGAUAGAGAUGGGCACGCGCAAGAUUAGUUAGUUGGUGAGGUAACGGCUCACCAAGACGAUGAUCUUUAGGGGCCUGAGAGGUGAUCCCCGACACUGGUACUGAGACACGGACCAGACUCCUACGGGAGGCAGCAGUGAGGAAUAUUGGGUCAAUGGGUGCAAGCCUG